CUUCCCGCCUGCGCGCUCGGCCAAGUGCGGCCGGGUCCUGCGGGACCGGCCCGAGUCCGCCGUAGACAACUUGAUCCGCUAAGACUCCUGGGCCGGCCGCCUGCGUGCAGGGCAGCCCCUCGCCGGUGUUGGCCUCCGGGAUCAGGGGACGGGGCUCGCUCUCCUCCCGGGCCCGGGCCCCCGACGCAAGAUGGCUGUGUCGCGUCGGCCUCUAAACAAUGUGUGGAGCGCGCAGCUCCUGCACCAGGGCCUGGUGGCUUGUCCUGCCCGCCCGUGGGGGCCGUGUGAUCUGUUUUCGGAAACCGAAAUAUUUAUUGUUGGAUUUAUCCAGGAAGGCUGUUCUGCAUUAGUUAAAUGCAUCAUAUCUUCAAGAAAUGUUAAAUGACAUGGAUGCUUCCAGCCCUGAAGCAUCAGACUCCAGGUUCUUUGGCUUUUGGACUCUUGGAGUUACACCAGUGGUUUCCCAGGAACUCUCCAGCCUUGGGCCACAGACUGAAGUUUGCACUGUCGGCUUCCCUGCUUUUGAGGUUUUGUGACUCAGACUGAGCCAACUGGCUUCCUUGCUCUUCAGGUUGCGGACGGCCUAUCGUGGGACUUUGCCUUGUGAUUGUAGAGAGGGUUUGUUUUGUUGUCCAUGCU
rnacentral:lncRNA from 10 species